ensembl:snRNA U6 U6 spliceosomal RNA
AUGCUCAUUUCGGUCACACACUAAAAUUGGAACAAUACAGAGAAGAUUAGCAUGACCCCUGUGCAAGGAUGACACACAAAUUCAUAAAGCAUUCCAUAUUUUU